rnacentral:lncRNA from 1 species
CUGGAUUCCAUUCCUCUAAAUUGUGCAGUUUUCUCCCCUCGUAUUGGAAGCUUGUUUGUUUUGCUACAUUUAUUUAUUUAUUAUAAUAUUUAUUUAUUUAUUUUAUUUUAUUUUUUCCAGGAGAAGAGGGUCUCAGAGGGUGAAGACUGGAGACAGGCAUUUAGAAUCUGGAUACUCAGUCCCUGGUCCAGCAGUACAGAGAAUUCAUACCCUGGUACAACUGCACAGAAUAGCCUGGGAGAAACAUGUGGAUGUAAAAUAGGGAAUAUUACUUUGACUGUUUUGGAGGACAUGCACUGUUUUCCAUGCAUACACCAGCAAUACAGGAAGGUCAAGAAGGUGAAUGGGAAAUGCUUGGAAGGGGAAGGUAGACAUCAAAGCGAAGAAUGGCUGGUUGUGGUGGCAAGUCAGAAAAGGUUAUGGCUUGCUGAUACAAACCCAACUCAGUAGUGACUAAAAUUUGUUGCUGCAGAACAAUACUGGCAGGAGAACAAAUGGGUCCCAUGAAUAAAUUUAGGCUGAUAAAUAGGAAGCA